rnacentral:rRNA from 1 species
UAGUCGUAGGGUAUCUUGUUGGAUGCUUGCUUCCACCUGGCUUAGCGGCGGACGGGUGAGUAACACGUAGGCAACCUACCCUCUAGACUGGGAUAACUACCGGAAACGGUAGCUAAUACCGGAUAAUUCCUUGGCCCUCCUGGGCUUGGGAUGAAAGGCGGAGCAAUCUGCUGCUAGAGGAUGGGCGUGCGGCGCAUUAGCUAGUUGGUGGGGUAACGGCCCACCAAGGCGACGAUGCGUAGCCGACCUGAGAGGGUGAACGGCCACACUGGGACUGAGACACGGCCCAGACUCCUACGGGAGGCAGCAGUAGGGAAUCUUGCCGCAAUGGGCGAAAGCCUGACGGAGCAACGCCGCGUGAGUGAUGAAGGUUUUCGGAUCGUAAAGCUCUGUUGCCAGGGAAGAACGUCCGGUAGAGUAACUGCUGCCGGAGUGACGGUACCUGAGAAGAAAGCCCCGGCUAACUACGUGCCAGCAGCCGCGGUAAUACGUAGGGGGCAAGCGUUGUCCGGAAUUAUUGGGCGUAAAGCGCGCGCAGGCGGCGACUUAAGUCUGGUGUUUAAACCUUGGGCUCAACCUGGGGUCGCACUGGAAACUGGGUGGCUUGAGUACAGAAGAGGAAGGUGGAAUUUCCACGUGUAGCGGUGAAAUGCGUAGAGAUGUGGAGGAACACCAGUGCCGAAGGCGACUUUUCUGGGCUGUAACUGACGCUG